AACGAACGCUGGCGGCAGGCCUAACACAUGCAAGUCGAACGCCGUAGCAAUACGGAGUGGCAGACGGGUGAGUAACGCGUGGGAACAUGCCCUUUGGUUCGGAAUAACUCAGGGAAACUUGAGCUAAUACCGGAUAAGCCCGAGAGGGGAAAGAUUUAUCGCCGAAGGAUUGGCCCGCGUCCGAUUAGCUAGUUGGUGAGGUAACGGCUCACCAAGGCGACGAUCGGUAGCUGGUCUGGGAGGAUGAUCAGCCACACUGGGACUGAGACACGGCCCAGACUCCUACGGGAGGCAGCAGUGGGGAAUAUUGGACAAUGGGCGCAAGCCUGAUCCAGCCAUGCCGCGUGAGUGAUGAAGGCCCUAGGGUUGUAAAGCUCUUUCGCCAGGGACGAUAAUGACGGUACCUGGAUAAGAAGCCCCGGCUAACUUCGUGCCAGCCGCCGCCGUAAAAC
rnacentral:rRNA from 1 species